rnacentral:rRNA from 1 species
UACAGAGGUCUCAAGCGUUGUUCGGAUUCAUUGGGCGUAAAGGGUGCGUAGGUGGCGCCAUAAGUCGGGUGUGAAAUCUCGGGGCUUAACUCCGAAACUGCAUUCGAUACUGCCGUGCUUGAGGACUGGAGAGGAGACUGGAAUUUACGGUGUAGCGGUGAAAUGCGCAGAUAUCAGGAGGAACACCGGUGGCGAAGGCGGGUCUCUGGGCAGUAACUGACGCUGAGGAGCGAAAGCGUGGGGAGCGAACAGG